UACAGAGGGGGCAAGCGUUGUUCGGAAUUACUGGGCGUAAAGGGCGCGUAGGCGGCCUGUUAAGUCGGACGUGAAAUCCCCGGGCUCAACCCGGGAACUGCGUCCGAUACUGGCAGGCUUGAAUCCGGGAGAGGGAUGUGGAAUUCCAGGUGUAGCGGUGAAAUGCGUAGAUAUCUGGAGGAACACCGGUGGCGAAGGCGGCAUCCUGGACCGGUAUUGACGCUGAGGCGCGACAGCGUGAGGAGCAAACAGG
rnacentral:rRNA from 1 species